GACGAACGCUGGCGGCGUGCUUAACACAUGCAAGUCGAACGGAAAGGCCCUGCUUGCAGGGUGCUCGAGUGGCGAACGGGUGAGUAACACGUGGGUGAUCUGCCCCUUACUUUGGGAUAAGCCUGGGAAACUGGGUCUAAUACUGGAUAGGACCAUGCUGUAGGUGGUGUGGUGGAAAGAUUAGUUUCGGUAAGGGAUGAGCUCGCGGCCUAUCAGCUUGUUGGUGGGGUAAUGGCCUACCAAGGCGUCGACGGGUAGCCGGCCUGAGAGGGUGGACGGCCACAUUGGGACUGAGAUACGGCCCAGACUCCUACGGGAGGCAGCAGUGGGGAAUAUUGCACAAUGGGCGCAAGCCUGAUGCAGCGACGCCGCGUGGGGGAUGACGGCCUUCGGGUUGUAAACUCCUUUCAGCCACGACGAAGCCCUUGUGGUGACGGUAGUGGUAGAAGAAGCACCGGCUAACUACGUGCCAGCAGCCGCGGUAAUACGUAGGGUGCGAGCGUUGUCCGGAAUUACUGGGCGUAAAGAGCUCGUAGGUGGUCUGUCGCGUCAUUUGUGAAAGCCCGGGGCUUAACUCCGGGGUUGGCAGGUGAUACGGGCAUGACUGGAGUACUGUAGGGGAGACUGGAAUUCCUGGUGUAGCGGUGAAAUGCGCAGAUAUCAGGAGGAACACCGGUGGCGAAGGCGGGUCUCUGGGCAGUAACUGACGCUGAGGAGCGAAAGCAUGGGUAGCGAACAGGAUUAGAUACCCUGGUAGUCCAUGCCGUAAACGGUGGGCGCUAGGUGUGGGUUUCCUUCCACGGGAUCCGUGCCGUAGCUAACGCAUUAAGCGCCCCGCCUGGGGAGUACGGCCGCAAGGCUAAAACUCAAAGGAAUUGACGGGGGCCCGCACAAGCGGCGGAGCAUGUGGAUUAAUUCGAUGCAACGCGAAGAACCUUACCUGGGCUUGACAUGCACUGGAUGCGGCCAGAGAUGGUUGUUCCCUUUGUGGCUGGUGUGCAGGUGGUGCAUGGUUGUCGUCAGCUCGUGUCGUGAGAUGUUGGGUUAAGUCCCGCAACGAGCGCAACCCUUGUCUCGUGUUGCCAGCAUUUGGUUGGGGACUCGCGGGAGACUGCCGGGGUUAACUCGGAGGAAGGUGGGGAUGACGUCAAAUCAUCAUGCCCCUUAUGUCCGGGGCUUCACACAUGCUACAAUGGCUGGUACAGAGAGUUGCGAUACCGUGAGGUGGGGCUAAUCUCGUAAAGCCAGUCUCAGUUCGGAUUGGAGUCUGCAACUCGACUCCAUGAAGUCGGAGUCGCUAGUAAUCGCAGAUCAGCAAUGCUGCGGUGAAUACGUUCCCGGGCCU
rnacentral:rRNA from 1 species